UACGAAGGGGGCUAGCGUUGCUCGGAAUCACUGGGCGUAAAGGGUGUGUAGGUGGCGCCGUAAGUCGGGUGUGAAAUCUCGGGGCUUAACUCCGAAACUGCAUUCGAUACUGCGGUGCUUGAGGACUGGAGAGGAGACUGGAAUUCAUGGUGUAGCAGUGAAAUGCGUAGAGAUCAUGAGGAAGACCAGUGGCGAAGGCGGGUCUCUGGACAGUUCCUGACACUGAGACACGAAGGCCAGGGGAGCAAACGGG
rnacentral:rRNA from 1 species